GGCAAGCGUUGUUCGGAAUUACUGGGCGUAAAGGGCGCGUAGGCGGUGUGUCAAGUCAGGCGUGAAAGCCCCGGGCUCAACCUGGGAACAGCGCUUGAGACUGGCACGCUCGAGUUCGGGAGAGGAUGGUGGAAUUCCCAGUGUAGAGGUGAAAUUCGUAGAUAUUGGGAAGAACACCGAUGGCGAAGGCAGCCAUCUGGACCGACACUGACGCUGAGGCGCGAAAGCGUGGGGAGCAAACAGG
rnacentral:rRNA from 1 species